rnacentral:rRNA from 1 species
UCCAGACUCCUACGGGAGGCAGCAGUGGGGAAUAUUGCACAAUGGGGGAAACCCUGAUGCAGCAACGCCGCGUGGGUGAAGGAGCGUUUCGGCGCGUAAAGCCCUGUCAGCGGGGAAGAAGAAAGACGGUACCCGACCAAGAAGCCCCGGCUAACUACGUGCCAGCAGCCGCGGUAAUACGUAUGGAGCAAGCGUUAUCCGGAAUUACUGGGUGUAAAGGGAGCGUAGACGGAUGUGCAAGUCUGAUGUGAAAGGCGGGGGCUCAACCCCUGGACUGCAUUGGAAACUGUAAAUCUUGAGUGCCGGAGAGGUAAGCGGAAUUCCUAGUGUAGCGGUGAAAUGCGUAGAUAUUAGGAGGAACACCAGUGGCGAAGGCGGCUUACUGGACGGUAACUGACGUUGAGGCUCGAAAGCGUGGGGAGCAAACAGGAUUAGAUACCCCCGUACUA